GGAGCUAAUCCCUUAAAGCUACUCUCAGUUCGGAUUGUAGGCUGAAACUCGCCUACAUGAAGCUGGAGUUACUAGUAAGCGCAGAUCAGAAUGCUGCGGUGAAUGCGUUCCCGGGUCUUGUACACACCGCCCGUCACACCACGGGAGUUGGAGACGCCCGAAGCCGAUUAUCUAACCUUUUGGAAGAAGUCGUCGAAGGUGGAAUCAAUAACUGGGGUGAAGUCGUAACAAGGUAGCCGUAUCGGAAGGUGCGGCUGGAUCACCUCCUUUCUAAGGAGA
rnacentral:rRNA from 1 species